AAAAAGACAAACUGUGGGUUCCCGUGCCAACAUUUAACUGUCUGUCUUAUAUGAUUUUUUUUAUAAUUAUUAUUUUCGUUGUUGUUAGAUGAUAAAACAUGAUUAAUACUUUAUGCGUGGCUUAUAUUUUUAAUUUUUUUUCAUAAUUUUUUUUAAAUAAGACGGACGAUUAAAUGUUAGACACGGAAACC
rnacentral:pre_miRNA from 1 species